GAUCUGGUUCAGGAUGAACGCUGGCGGCGUGCUUAAUACAUGCAAGUCGAACGAAGACAUCUCGCCGAAGCUUGCUUCAUUGAGAUAUCUUAGUGGCGGACGGGUGAGUAACGCGUGGGUAACCUGCCUUACACAGGGGGAUAACAGUUAGAAAUGACUGCUAAUACCGCAUAAGCGCACAUUAUCGCAUGAUAGAGUGUGAAAAGAUUUAUCGGUGUAAGAUGGACCCGCGUCUGAUUAGCUAGUUGGUGAGGUAACGGCCCACCAGGGCGACGAUCAGUAGCCGGCCUGAGAGGGUGAACGGCCACAUUGGGACUGAGACACGGCCCAAACUCCUACGGGAGGCAGCAGUAGGGAAUAUUGGACAAUGGGGGAAACCCUGAAUCCAGCGACGCCGCGUGAGUGAAGAAGUAUUUCGGUACGUAAAGCUCUAUCAGCAGGGAAGAAAAUGACGGUACCUGACUAAGAAGCACCGGCUAAAUACGUGCCAGCCGCCGC
rnacentral:rRNA from 1 species